AUAUGUGAUAUUUAAAUUCAUAAUACUUAUACUAUAUAAUUAAAAAUCUAAUGAAAUAAAAUUUCUUCUAAAUAUAAUCUGUAAAAUAAUUUAAGAUUAUAAAUUUAAAUAUCACAUAUAUUAUUAUAUUAAUUUUAUAUAACCUCUACAAAGAUCUGACCUAUUAAUUUAGAAAGAAAUCUCAAGACAAUAAACAAAUUAGAUACUACACAUGUCUUACCAGCUCCAUCGCUUGUACUUAUAAGCAUGCUCUUGCUCCCUUACUUUGUUCACACCAAGCACCAAAAGAAAAAAAAAGAGAGAGAGUAAAGUUUACAUCAUACCAACAAAAUGGCAUUAUCAAAGCUUCAAUCUGUAGGCAUACUCGUUAUAUGUUCUCUCCUACUGACUUCUCUGUCAAGAGAUGUAAGGGAGAAUGACGAGCAUCGUUCGGAUUGUGUUUACAAAGGCCCGUGUAAGAGCAAUCAAGACUGUAAGAGUCAGUGUGGUCCGCCUAACUUCCCACCAACGACUAUUGGCUUAUGUCAAGCCAGUCCUAGAGGCCACGGCAACAUUUGUUGUUGUUCCAAAGAUUAAUAUUCUCUUUCUCAAAAAAAAAAAGAAGAUUAAUAUUCUCCCAUCAGCUAUAAUCCUAGAAUUUUUUGUACUUAUAUAUUAUUAAAUUCUAAUAAGUUCCAAUGUUUAAGCAGAAAACAAAAAAGUUUACUUCAUUUUUGGAUUUCAAAAUUCAUCUAUAUAUAUAAACUUAAUCUUAUGUAAAGUAGAUCUUUGUUACUCA